UACGUAGGGGGCAAGCGUUGUCCGGAAUCAUUGGGCGGAAAGCGCGUGUAGGCGGCUCGAUAAGUCUGCUGUGAAAGUCCAGGGCUCAACCCUGGGAUGCCGGUGGAUACUGUCGAGCUCGAGUCCGGAAGAGGCGAGUGGAAUUCCUGGUGUAGCGGUGAAAUGCGCAGAUAUCAGGAGGAACACCAAUGGCGAAGGCAGCUCGCUGGGACGGUACUGACGCUGAGACGCGAAAGCGUGGGGAGCAAACAGG
rnacentral:rRNA from 1 species